rnacentral:misc_RNA from 1 species
AACGCAUCUGGCGCCCCCGGGUCCUGCCCGGAGGCAUGUCUGUUUGAGAAUCAUUUAUUUGUUUGCGUGGCGCGCUCGGCGGUGCGUCGACUUGGGCUCACACCAGUGUCUGUCCGAAAGCCAGCGGCGCUGCGUGGGUUAGUAGCUAGCAGUAGCGCGACAUGCAUGCGGCGCACGCCUGUGAUUGGCUGAUUGGUCGAUGGUCUCAAAUCAGACAAGACUACCCGCCGAACUUAA